CCUACGGGUGGCAGCAGUAGGGAAUCUUUCACAAUGGGCGAAAGCCUGAUGGAGCAACGUCGCGUGCAGGAUGAAGGCCUUCGGGUUGUAAACUGCUUUUAUAAGCGAGAAAUAUGAUGGUAACUUAUGAAUAAGGAUCGGCUAACUACGUGCCAGCCGCCGCGGUCAUACGUAGGAUCCGAGCAUUAUCCGGAGUGACUGGGGGUAAAGAGUUGCGUAGGUGGCAUAAUAAGUAGCUAGGGAAAUCUGGUGGCUCAACCAUUCAGAAUAUUAGCUAAACUGUUAAGCUCGAGACCGUUAGGGGUAACUGGAAUUUCUAGUGUAGGGGUGAAAUCCGUAGAUAUUAGAAGGAACACCGAUGGCGUAGGCAGGUUGCUGGGACAGUUCUGACACUAAGGCACGAAAGCGUAGGGAGCAAACGGGAUUAGAUACCCGAGUAGUC
rnacentral:rRNA from 1 species